rnacentral:rRNA from 1 species
AGAGUUUGAUCCUGGCUCAGGACGAACGCUGGCGGCGUGCCUAACACAUGCAAGUCGAACGGAGUGAUUUCACGAAGGUCUUCGGAUUGGACGAGAUCACUUAGUGGCGGACGGGUGAGUAACGCGUGAGCAACCUGCCUUUCAGAGGGGGACAACGGUUGGAAACGACCGCUAAUACCGCAUAAUACAUUCUGGUCGCAUGAUUGGGAUGUCAAAGAUUUUAUCGCUGAAAGAUGGGCUCGCGUCUGAUUAGAUAGUUGGUGGGGCAACGGCCUACCAAGUCGACGAUCAGUAGCCGGACUGAGAGGUUGAACGGCCACAUUGGGACUGAGAUACGGCCCAGACUCCUACGGGAGGCAGCAGUGGGGAAUAUUGGGCAAUGGGGGCAACCCUGACCCAGCAACGCCGCGUGAAGGAAGAAGGCUUUCGGGUUGUAAACUUCUUUUACCAGGGACGAAGAACGUGACGGUACCUGGAGAAAAAGCCACGGCUAACUACGUGCCAGCAGCCGCGGUAAUACGUAGGUGGCAAGCGUUGUCCGGAAUUACUGGGUGUAAAGGGCGUGUAGGCGGAGCGGCAAGUCAGAAGUGAAAUCUCCGGGCUUAACCCGGAAACUGCUUUUGAAACUGUCGCCCUUGAGUAUCGGAGAGGCUGGCGGAAUUCCUAGUGUAGCGGUGAAAUGCGUAGAUAUUAGGAGGAACACCAGUGGCGAAGGCGGCCUGCUGGACGACAACUGACGCUGAGGCGCGAAAGCGUGGGGAGCAAACAGGAUUAGAUACCCUGGUAGUCCACGCCGUAAACGAUGGAUACUAGGUGUGGGGGGACUGACCCCUUCCGUGCCGCAGUAAACACAAUAAGUAUCCCA